rnacentral:rRNA from 1 species
CCAGGAUUCCCCCAGUAACGGCGAGUGAAGCGGGAAGAGCUCACGUUGUAAAUCUGACUUUCGGGUCCGAAUUGUAGUCUGGAGAGGCGUGACCAGCUGGGGACGGGGGCGAAGUCUCUUGGAAAAGAGCAUCAAGGAGGGUGACAAUCCCGUUCUUGCCCCCACUCCCCACGCGUACGGUCCGUUUUCUACGAGUCGAGUUGCUUGGGAUUGCAGCUCAAAGCGGGUGGUAAAUUCCAUCUAAAGCUAAACACGGGUGGGAGACCGAUAGCGAACAAGUACCGUGAGGGAAAGAUGCAAAGAACUUUGAAAAGAGAGUUAAAGAGUGCCUGAAAUUGCUGAAAGGGAAGCGAAGGAAACCAGUGUCUGGCAGUUUCGCUUCUCCGCGGCCCUUCGGGGCUUCGGUUUGCGUCCCUGCCGUGGCCAGGGCCGGGUAGCGUUGCGGGAGGCUGCGUCUUUGGAAGGUAGCAUCUCUUCGGAGUGUGAAGACCUCGGCGUGUCGUCGCGUCGCUGGCCGGUUCUGACGAAAUGGUUUUCUUUAC